rnacentral:rRNA from 1 species
GACGAACGCUGGCGGCGUGCUUAACACAUGCAAGUCGAGCGAUGAAGCACCUUCGGGUGUGAAUUAGCGGCGAACGGGUGAGGAACUCGUGAGAAAUCUGCCUUCAACUCUGGGAUAACUCCGGGAAACCGGGGCUAAUACCGGAUAUGAGCCUCGAUCGCAUGAUCGGGGCUGGAAAGUUUUUCGGUUGAAGAUGAUCUCGCGGCCUAUCAGCUUGUUGGUGAGGUAAUGGCUCACCAAGGCGACGACGGGUAGCCGGCCUGAGAGGGCGACCGGCCACACUGGGACUGAGACACGGCCCAGACUCCUACGGGAGGCAGCAGUGGGGAAUAUUGGGCAAUGGAGGAAACUCUGACCCAGCGACGCCGCGUGAGGGAUGAAGGCCUUCGGGUUGUAAACCUCUUUCAGUAGGGAAGAAGCGAAAGUGACGGUACCUACAGAAGAAGCACCGGCUAACUAUGUGCCAGCCGCCGCAGUAA